UCCUACGGGGCGCAGCAGUGGGGAAUAUUGCACAAUGGGGGGAACCCUGAUGCAGCGACGCCGCGUGAGUGAAGAAGUAUUUCGGUAUGUAAAGCUCUAUCAGCAGGGAAGAAGAUGACGGUACCUGACUAAGAAGCCCCGGCUAACUACGUGCCAGCAGCCGCGGUAAUACGUAGGGGGCAAGCGUUAUCCGGAUUUACUGGGUGUAAAGGGAGCGUAGACGGCAGGGCAAGUCUGGAGUGAAAGCCCGGGGCUCAACCCCGGGACUGCUUU
rnacentral:rRNA from 1 species